rnacentral:rRNA from 1 species
UACGUAGGGUGCGAGCGUUGUCCGGAAUUAUUGGGCGUAAAGAGCUCGUAGGCGGUGUGUCACGUCGGCCGUGAAAACCUGCAGCUUAACUGUGGGCGUGCGGUCGAUACGGGCAUCACUGGAGUUCGGCAGGGGAGACUGGAAUUCCUGGUGUAGCGGUGAAAUGCGCAGAUAUCAGGAGGAACACCUGUGGCGAAGGCGGCCCCCUGGGCCGGCCCUGACACUGAGACGCGAAGGCGUGGGGGAGCGAACGGG